rnacentral:misc_RNA from 1 species
CCGAGUUUACAACUCCCAAACCCAAUGUGAACAUACCUCGACUGUUGCUUCGGCGGGACUGCCCCGGCGCCUCACGUGCCCCGGAAUCAGGCGCCCGCCGCAGGAACCUAACCUCUUGUUUUAUUAUGAAUCUCUCUGAGUGAGUUUUAUACAAAUAAAUAA